CCUACGGGAGGCAGCAGUAGGGAAUAUUGCUCAAUGGGGGAAACCCUGAAGCAGCAACGCCGCGUGGAGGAUGAAGGUUUUCGGAUUGUAAACUCCUUUUGUUAGAGAAGAUAAUGACGGUAUCUAACGAAUAAGCACCGGCUAACUCCGUGCCAGCAGCCGCGGUAAUACGGAGGGUGCAAGCGUUACUCGGAAUCACUGGGCGGAAAGAGCGCGUAGGCGGGAUAGCAAGUCAGAUGUGAAAUCCUAUGGCUUAACCAUAGAACUGCAUUUGACACUGUUAUUCUAGAGUAUGGGAGAGGUAGGUGGAAUUCUUGGUGUAGGGGUAAAAUCCGUAGAGAUCAAGAGGAAUACUCAUUGCGAAGGCGACCUGCUAGAACAUAACUGACGCUGAUGCGCGAAAGCGUGGGGAGCAAACAGGAUUAGAUACCCCGGUAGUC
rnacentral:rRNA from 1 species